rnacentral:rRNA from 1 species
AGAGUUUGAUCCCGGCUCAGGAUAAACGCUAGCGGUGUGCAUUAUGCAUGCAAGUCGAACGGUUUGGAGCAAUCCAAACAGUGGCAAACGGCUGAAUAACACGUAAGCAACCUGUCCUUAAAUGGGGAAUAAUUCACCGAAAGGUGGACUAAUACCGCAUGUGGUAAUGGAGGUAGUGCUCUAUUACUAAAGCCUUCGGGCGUUUGAGGAGGGGCUUGCGUCCUAUCAGGUAGUUGGUGGGGUAACGGCUUACCAAGCCUAUGACGGGUAGCUGGUCUAAGAGGACGUCCAGCCAGACGGGGACUGAGACACGGCCCCGACUCCUACGGGAGGCAGCAGCAAGGAAUUUUGCGCAAUGGGCGAAAGCCUGACGCAGCAACACCGCGUGAGGGAAGAAGGCCUUCGGGUUGUAAACCUCUUUUGUCAGGGAAGAAUAAUGACGGUACCUGGCGAAUAAGUCACGGCUAACUACGUGCCAGCAGCUGCGGUAAUACGUAGGUGGCAAGCGUUAUCCGGAUUCACUGGGCGUAAAGAGCGCGUAGGUGGUCCUUCAAGUCAGAUGUUAAAUCUCCCGGCUCAACUGGGAGCGGUCAUUUGAUACUGCUGGACUCGAGGAUGGUAGAGGGAGGUGGAAUUCCCGGUGUAGUGGUGAAAUGCGUAGAUAUCGGGAGGAACACCAGUGGCGAAGGCGGCUUCCUGGCCCGUUCUUGACGCUGAGGCGCGAAAGCUAGGGGAGCAAACGGGAUUAGAUACCCCGGUAGUCCUAGCCGUAAAC